rnacentral:rRNA from 1 species
AGUUAGAGGAGGUAGUAAAGACAAAUAUCGAUACAGAACUCAAAUGAGGUACUGUAAUCGAAAUGAGUGCAUUAUAAAUCCUACAACAAGGAACAAUUGGAGGGCAAGUCUGGUGCCAGCAGCCGCGGUAACUCCAGCUCCAAUAGCAUAUAUUAAAAUUGCUGCAGUUAAAAAGCUCGUAGUUGGAUCUGGGUUCUGGUCUGUUAUAUCUCGUGUGGGCUAGUGUCUUUGAUGCUAGUUUACGCUUGGUAUGUUAGGCCGAAUCUUCCAGCUGUGUCUAUGUGGUACUUCGGUAUUGCAUAGAUAGUGGCGUUGUCUACGCUUGCCUCACGGCUUGCUAGCUUCGUCACUAUGCACUGUCAAUGCCUUUAACCGGGUGUUCAGUGUGGACAGCACGUUUACUUUGAACAAAUUUGAGUGCUCAAAGCAGGCCUAUGU